AACACUCAAGUUCAUAGAACAUCAAACUUGCUUUGGCUUUGAUCGUUCAAUCAACUAGUUAGCUGGUCAUCAUAUAUCUAUCCCAAGCUAGCGCCAAGAUGGCACCAGGGAAAGGAACAUUGCUCCUCCUGGCCUUUGCUGUGGUAGUUUGUCUAGGUUCUGUGAGUGGUACAGCGGCGGCUUGUACCAACACUCAGAAGGACAGCCUCCUUGUAUCAUGUAAUGGAAGCAUCAAGAAAGGAAAAAUUGGUUACCCAUCCAAAAAUAGCCCGUGCUGUAAGUAUGUGAGAGUCAUAGACAUGGGCUGCAUCUUCGGUCUUCUUACAGACAAAGACAAGAAACAAUACAACGAGUAUAAGAUCCGAAACCUUAGAAAACAUUGCUCACUUGCUCCUUAGGCCGCACUUAAUCUGGUCGCGGUGUAAAGUGACGCAUGCUAUUGCUCCUGAAGGGCAUGACAAAAAAUUGGAGAGGAGAUAUAUACAUCUGGUAGUUAUCUACUCGAGUAAAAUCAAUCUGGUUGUGAUAUGUUGCGACAUAUGUAUUGAUUUCAUGGAAUAAUAUAAUAUGUUGUUCGGGCU